AACGUAGGAGACAAACGUUAUCCGGAGUUACUGGGCGUAAAGGGCGUGCAGGCGGUCUGUUAAGUCUGGCGUGAAAGCUCUCGGCUAAACCGGGAGAGGUCGUUGGAUACUGGCGGACUAGAGGACGGUAGAGGCGUGUGGAAUUCCGGGUGUAGUGGUGAAAUGCGUAGAGAUCCGGAGGAACACCAGUGGCGAAGGCGACACGCUGGGCCGUACCUGACACUAAAACGCGACAGCAUGGGGAGCGAACGGG
rnacentral:rRNA from 1 species